CUGUAGUAUUUCUAUCAGUUUGCAUAUUUUCGUAAAAAUUAUAUUUGAAAAAGAGUCUCCCACAGGGGAAAAAUCGAAUUAAUCUUUAAAAAUCUAAAGUCGAGUAUUCGAAGAAAAUACGCCUUUUCAUUUAUUGACAGCACUAGGACAGAGGUGACAGAGGCACAGAGGCGAGGCGAGAGUCACCACAGGCGGACAGUGUUGCAUAUAUAGAGUAUCGUUUCAGAAGUUAUCCCGACAGCUCUUGCUUUUCUUACGCAGAGGCCAAAACUCAAAUCAUGAAAAACGUUUGGAUAUUUUUGACUAUCUUGCUGAUUGGUGUCAUCCCAUCGAUUCUUGCUUGGCGCACGUUUCUUAGAGGUCGAAGCAAGCAUGGUCUAGGAGCUCCACUUGUAACUAGAGAUACCAACUUUCCUAAGGAACAAUGGAUCCAACAAAAUCUUGACCAUUUCAAUCCAACGGAUGCUCGAACUUGGGAACAGCGUUACUUUGUCAACGAUACGCACUGGAAAAAAGAUGGUCCUGUUUUUCUGAUGAUCGGAGGGGAAGGAGAAGCCAGUCCAAAAUGGAUGGUCGACGGUCAAUGGCUCCAAUAUGCCCAUCAAUACGGAGCCCUUUGCUUCCAAGUGGAGCAUCGCUUCUAUGGAAAAAGUCAUCCCACUCAGGAUCUUAGUGUGAAAAAUCUCGUAUUCCUCUCGUCUGAGCAAGCGCUCGCAGAUUUGGCCCAUUUUAUUGAAACAGCAAGAGUGAAGUAUCAAAUCCCGGCUGCUACCAAAUGGAUUGUAUUCGGUGGUUCUUAUCCCGGAUCUCUAGCUGCUUGGGCUCGAUUAAAAUAUCCUCAUCUCAUUCAUGGUGCCAUGUCCGCAAGUGGACCGCUUCUUGCUCAAAUUGAUUUUCAACAAUAUUACGUUGUCGUUGAGAACUCCUUGCGAGGACAUUCUCAAGCUUGCGUCGAUGCCUUAGCCGCGGCAAAUCAUCAAAUUAACUUAAUGUUACAUCAUCGUAUUGGUCAGCAGGGAUUAACGAAAAAAUUCAAUCUCUGCGAUCCGAUCGAGUCCGCGUAUUCGAAGCGCGACAUCGCUAAUUUCUACGAGACUCUAGCGAGUGAGUUUGCUGAAAUUGUGCAAUACAACAAGGACAAUCGAAUCGGUGCCAGGGCAAAAUCUUAUACGAUCGACGACGUCUGCAAUAUUCUUGUUGAUGAAAAACGCGGUAUACCUGUGGACAGACUCGCCGAAAUUAGUAAUAUGUUGCUCGCGGCUAGUAACGAAAAGUGUCUUGAUUACAAAUACACCAAAAUGGUUGAUGAUCUGAGAAACGUAACGUGGGCCAGUGAAAUGGCCGAAGGAGGCCGCCAAUGGAUGUAUCAGACAUGCACGGAAUUCGGAUUUUUCCAGACCUCAACGGCUCGACCAAAUCUCUUUAGUGAAACUUUCCCCGUUGAUUUCUUCGUUCAGCAGUGUACCGAUGUUUUUGGUCCGCGAUUCAACCUUCAUUUGCUUGAAAACUCGGUCGAACGUACGAAUUCAUUUUAUGGUGCUAAGGAUAUCAAAGUAACGAACGUAGUUUAUGUUCACGGUUCGAUCGAUCCGUGGCACGCUUUGGGAAUUACACAGUCCACGGACCCAAAAGCACCGGCUAUUUUCAUUAACGGUACUGCUCACUGCGCCAACAUGUAUCCGGCAUCCUCCAACGAUUUGCCAGAAUUGACUGAAGCUCGUCAAAAAGUAAAUCAACUUAUAGGAGAAUGGUUGAAGGAGUAAAACCGAAAGUUUCGUUGAUCCAAAGAGUGCAACGAAAUUCAUCAAUUAAUGUAAUAAUUUUAUUAGCUCUCUCUCUCUCUCUCUCUCUCUCUCUCUCUCUCUCUCUCUCUCUCUUUGAAAGCGUGCG
rnacentral:misc_RNA from 1 species